UACGUAGGGUGCGAGCGUUGUCCGGAAUUAUUGGGCGUAAAGGGCUCGUAGGCGGUUUGUCGCGUCGGGAGUGAAAACACUGGGCUUAACUCAGUGCUUGCUUCCGAUACGGGCAGACUAGAGGUAUGCAGGGGAGAACGGAAUUCCUGGUGUAGCGGUGAAAUGCGCAGAUAUCAGGAGGAACACCGGUGGCGAAGGCGGUUCUCUGGGCAUUACCUGACGCUGAGGAGCGAAAGUGUGGGGGAGCGAACAGG
rnacentral:rRNA from 1 species